AAGUCUUUCCCCCACCCGUGCAGUCAGGCACGAGUCAGGAGUAUCCAAGAGACCCAGGAGUAUCCAAUCCACCAGGUCAAUUAACUGAGUUUCCCACCAAGCUUUCAUACUCUGGAACACCCACCACAGAUUCUUCAUUUUUAACUUCACUUUUCUACGUUUUCAUGUUUUUUUUUUUGUUUGUUUUUUUGUUUUUUUUGGUGUGUGUGUUUUUGGUUUUUCUUUUCUCCUUUUUCUUUUUUAAAUGUAUAUAAUACAUUACAACCCAGCUACAGUCAUUGAUUGAAGCUUUUCUUAUCAGUGCUGAACAUGACCGUAACACUCUUGUCCUCAAUCACAGCUCUUCAUCCUCUGUGGGCCACACAGGCCAGGAAAAUCUCUCAACGAGUGAGUUUGAUGUAGCCCCAGAUGCAAAUCUGGCCACGAAUCUCACAGCAUUGGCAGAUAUCAGCCAGGAUCUCAUUGCCAUCCCUGCUGAAGAACUGUUUACAUCC